GGUUUCCUCACUGUUGGGUGUUUACUCUUUAUAAAAGAGGGGGCAAAAACAAGACUUUGGCAGAACACACAGUAAUGACACCCGGCCAGUGACAGAGACAUGAGAUGAAUGGCUAAUGAGCUUUUUUCAACUAAUUUGUCACUGUCAGAGUCAUGCUGGUGUAUUUGGGUGAUACACUAAAUGACCAAAAGUAUAUGGACACCUGCUCGUCGAACACCUGCUCGUCGGACACCUGCUCGUCAAGUUCUUCCAACACCUAUCUUGACAAACCAUUUCUGUAUGGAUCUCGCUUUGUGCAUGGGGGCUUUGUCAUGCCAACACAACGUUGGAAUUACAGAAUCGUCUAGCAUGUAUACUGUAACGUUAAGAUUUCCCUUCACUGGAACUAAGUGGCCUAUCAAAAGGAACCAUGAAAAACAGUCACAGACCAUUAUUCCUCUUCUGUCAAACUUUACAGUUGGCACUAUGCACUCGGGCAGGUAGCGUUCUCUUGGCAUUCGACAAACCCAGAUUCGUCCUUUUGACUGCCAGAUGGUAAAGCGUGAUUCAUUCCUCCAGAGAAUGCAUUUCCACUGCUCCAGUCCAAUGGUGGAAAACUUUAUACCACUCCAGCUGACGCUUGGCAUUGUGCAUGGUGAUCUUAGGCUUGUGUGCGGCUGCUCGGCCAUGGAAACCAAAUUCAUGAAGCUCCCGACUAACAGUUAUUGUGCUGGCGUUGCUCCCAGAGGCAGUUUGGAACUUUGUAGUGAGUGUCGCAAACAAGGACAGACUAUUUUUUUACGCUUCAGCGGUCCCGUUCUGUGAGGUUGUGUGGCCUACCACUUUGCGGCUGAGCCGUUGUUGUUCCUAGACAUUUCCACUUCACAAUGUCAGCACUUACAGUUGACCGGAGCAGCUCUAGCAGGACAGAAAUUUGACAAACUGACGAUUGAAACUCACUGAGCUCUUCAGUCUUUCCAGCGUGUUUUCCAGUCUCCCUGCUAUCUCAAGUUCUGUUUCCUAGUUUCCCCGGUUCUGACCAUUCUGCCUGCCCUGACCCCGAGCCUGCCUGUCGUUCUGUACCUGCCUGACUCUGACAUGUUUGCGAACCUCUGCCUGUCCUGGCCCCGAGCCUGCCUGUCAUUCUGUACCUUAUUGACUCUGCCCUAGAUUACAAAACUCUGCCUGCCUUUGAACUGUCUUUUGCCUGCCCCCUGUUUGGGUAAAUAAACAUCUGUAACUCUAGCUGUCUGCAUCUGGGUCUUCUCCUGAGUUCUGAUAGUAAGGCCAUUCUACAGCCAAUGUUUGUCUAUGAAAAUUGCAUGGCUGUGUGCUCGAUUUUAUACGCCUGUCAGCAACGGGGGUGGCUGAAAUAGCCAAAUUCACUCAUUUGAAGGUGUGUCCACAUACUUUUGUAUAUAUAGUGUAUCUAAGUCAAUGUGUUUAUCCCUGGAUCACAAGUGCAAUUGCAAUGUCAUGUUAUGUUGAGGCAUAAUCCAGUCAAACGGUAGACAAUAAAAAUGCUCAUCAUGUGCUGUGCAAAUAUACACUUUAAUAUGAAUCUAAAUGUAUUUAUUUAAAUACACAUGUUGUGACACAUGGCCAGUGUCAAUGCAGUGUGGAUUUGAUAGAAAUCCAGACUCUCCUCCUACUGCGUGCCAUUAUUACAACUAAUCAGAGUAGACAUUUACAGGUAGAAUGCUUAAUAACUUGUUAUAAGCAUAUAUGAGCCUUUAUAAUGUCUUAUAAGGAGUAUAAUGUUAUGUCUCUCUAUGUAGUAAAUGUUCUGCACAAGCAUGCCUGUUAUUUUAUCAGGAUCAUUAUGAAAUUUAAAAAUAUAUAUUUUAAGGGGAGUAAUUUGACAAGUAUUGCCUAAAAAUUCAUUACAUAUGCCAGUGUUAAAGUGCAUUAUCCAACUUUAAUUCUCUCCCAAUGCAGCCUUCCCAUAGCGAACCUCCCACACUCAAUAUUUUAAGGAGUCAUUUGACAAGUCUUGCCUAAGAAGUUAAUGCAUUACACACGCUAGUGUUAAGAAAGUGCAUUACCGAAUUUGGAUUCCGCACAGUAUCUCUCCCAAUGCAGCCUUUCCCAUAGCCAACCUUUCUCCCACACUCAAGCUGUUCCACUUAAGUUUGUACCCCCACUUUAUCCCUCUGUGACUGGUUCCCACAGUAAAGGUCCUGUUUGUGCAAACAACCCGAGGCCUUCUACCAAAUUACCACUGGGCAUGGGUCCGUCAAUAGGCCUAAAGAGUCUUACGAAUGAGUGAUAUAUGUAUUCAAACUCUGCCAGCUACGCGUUUCUGUUGUUCUUGGAGCUCAACCCAGUGGACCUGUUCCCAGACCUGUUGGAAAUCGCUUCCACAUGUUGAGGGAUAUUAUUACCCCCUCCUCUGUCAAGUUCUUCUAUGGUUGGAGAACAGCAAGAGGGAGCAGCCAUCUUGGUUUCCACCUGUUUGUCAGAGUAAUGUGCCACAUUGGUAAAAGAGAGGCUCUAAAUUGUAAUGUUUAGAAAUGGGUGCUACAGCAUAAAGGGACAAACAUUUAAAGAGGAAAAUGUAAUUAGUGACAAUGAAAUAUUACCAUAUGCAUUCAUUAUAUUGAUCAAUCACUUUUGUGAUUUUGUGUCUGAAAAUGUUGAAUGGAGCCAAUGCUUUUUCAUUGGGAGGGUCCCGCUUUAAACGACAUGCAGCUUAUAAAGCCUUCAUAAAGCCUUCCUAAACACUACAUAAAUCUGUUACAAACCCUCUAUAACCAUGUGUCAUGCUUUAUAAAGGGCUCAUAAAUGUGUCAUAACCACCAAUGUCAAAUGGGACAUAACCCUGUCACACCCUGAUCUGUUUCACCUGUGCUUAUGCUUGUCUCCACCGCCUGCAGGUGUCACCCAUCUUCCCCAUUAUCCCCUGGGUAUUUAUACCUCUGUUUUCUGUCUGUCUGUGCCAGUUUGCCUUGUUUUGUCAAGUCAACCAGCGUGUUACUCUGUGCUCCUGCUUUUUCCUCUUUUUGUUUUUUGCUAGUCCUCCCGGUUUUGACCCUUGCAUGCCUUGACUCUGAACCCGCCUGCCUGACCAUACUGCCUGCCCUGACCUCCAGCCUGCCUGACCAUACUGCCUGCCCUGACCUCGAGCCUGCCUGACCAUACUGCCUGCCCUGACCUCCAGCCUGCCUGCCACUCUGUGCCUCCUGGACUCUGACCUUGUUACGUUCUUUUGCCUGUCCACAACCAUCCUCUUGCCUGCCCCCUUGGAUACUAAUAAAUAUCAGAGACUUGAACCAUCUGCCUCCCUUGUCUGCAGCUGGGUCUCGCCCUGUGCCCUUAUAAACCAAUUAUGUGAAAUAUGCCAUAAACCUGUGCUUUAUAAAGGGUGGCAUAAGCACCGCUUAAUAAAGGGUAGGGCCUUUAAAAAUAUUUACUUAUUUUUUGCCUACUUUCCCCAAAUUCCAAUUUCUUGGUUUUGUUUUUCCAGGUUUCGGAUUUCCCCACCCAAAUUCUGGUUAACCACAGAUUUCUUUCACACUUUCUUAAUAGAAAAACAACUCAAUUGGAUUUUCUUUGUUCACAACAAUGCUUAUGCACAUCAGGGGAUGACUUUUGAGGUCUGGGAAAAAUGUAAGAAACUUUUAUUUUUCAGUGUAGUUGCCCUUUAAUUCCGUGAGCAUGCCCUGCACUGUUGUUUGGUUAGCGGGUUUUCUGUAGUGCAUUAAGCACACAUGUGAUGUGAUUUGGCCGCCAAUGGAAUGGGUGGAGUAAAAGGCCAGAAACACGCCGUAUUAUUCAGGGCCCCAUGAGAUUACACCAUAUACACAUUCUACAGACCCUACUGACUAUGACCUACAAUACUUUACUGCGGCACCCAGAAUAGUUCUUGCUCUAAGUCAAUCUGUUUUCCAUAUAUAUAUGUAUAUGAAUCAUUGUUCAUAUUUAGACAAUUCUUUUUCAUAUAUCAUGAAUAUAUAUAGAUAGUUUGUGGGACUUUUAUUUUGAAAAUGUUCUAAAUUCCGUGGCCCGACCCGGAAGUACUUUUUUAGUGUUGCUGACAAGACGCUGAUUAUGUGAUAUGUUCACAAAUCAAAUGCCCCACUCGUGUUGCCACUGGACAGCGAAAAACAAGUUGGAACCAACAUGCAGUACCUCUGGCAGGAAGAGAGGCAAAAACCAUUCUCCCGCCAGCUCAGGGACAAGCUACACUAUUCACAGCCCUGUGUAAUGUUCAAUGUAAUUGCAUUGCUGAAAUGUAUUAAACUUAAUGUAUUUGUAUUGUUUUAAAAAUGUACAAAUAAAAGUAAUUGUAUGGUUUAAACAUGCUUAUUUCCCACCAUAAUUUGCAAAUAAAUUCAAUAAAAAAUCUUACAAUGUGA